rnacentral:lncRNA from 1 species
GGCUUGUUUAGCCUGGAGAAGAGAAGGCUCCAGGGAAACUUCAUUGUGGCCUUUCAAGACAUAAAGAGAGCUUACAACAAAGAUGAAGAUUUUUUACCAGGGCCUCUUGUGACAGGUCAAGGGGAAACAAUUUUACUCUGAAAGAAGGUAGAUGUAAUUGAAUAUAAGGAAGAAAUAUUUUGUGAAAAGGGUGAACAGGCACUGGAACAGGUUGUUUAGAGAAACUGUGGAUGUCCCAUCCCUGGAAGCAUGCAAGGUCAGGCUGGAUAGGAUCCUGGGUAGGCUGAUCUGAAGGGUGGCAGCCCUGCCCACAGCACAUGGUUGAAACUAGAUAUCUUUAAGGUUCCUUCCAAUCCUCUGGCAAAGGGAAUAUUUAAAUGUAUUAUCAGCUUUAUUAUUUCAACUUUCCAUUUAAUACCUGAGUUGUGUUGCCUUGUUCAUUGCAAUCUAACUUUAACUAAUAGGAGUUUUUUUGUUGUUAUUGGAUUGCUUUUUUUUUUUUUUUUUUUUUUU